UACGAAGGGGGCUAGCGUUGCUCGGAAUCACUGGGCGUAAAGGGUGCGUAGGCGGGUCUUUUAAGUCAGGGGUGAAAUCCUGGAGCUCAACUCCAGAACUGCCUUUGAUACUGAGGAUCUUGAGUUCGGGAGAGGUGAGUGGAACUGCGAGUGUAGAGGUGAAAUUCGUAGAUAUUGGGAAGAACACCGGUGGCGAAGGCGGCUCACUGGCUCGUAACUGACGCUCAUGCACGACAGCGUGGGGAUCAAACAGG
rnacentral:rRNA from 1 species